CCGAUCCUUUUUCUCACACUCCAUGUGACUGUCUUCUCCAAUCGUCGUUUUCGCGGAAACUCCAUGUUCUAUUAAUUGUGUCGUUUUGUAAAUUUAUUAGACCAUGUGUAGUGGAAUAACUAAAAAGUGUCAUAACUACUGCUAUAUUAAAAGAAUGCCUAUAUUCGUCCAAAAACUUUUUCCGAUCCUUUUUCUCAAACUCCAUGUGACUGUCUUCUACAAUCGUUUUCGCGGAAACUACAUAUGACUGUCUUCUAUUAAUUGUGUCGGGUUUGUAAAUUUAUUAGACCAUGUGUAGUGGAAUAACUAAAAAGUGCGAUAACUAUUGCUAUAUUAAAAGAAUGCCUAUAUUCAAAUGUUUAGUUUUGUUUCUUGAUGUUUUAGCUUCCAACAUCCGUCACUAGGCAGUGAGGGUGUCGUUGGUCAUGGUAGUUGUAAGCGCAGCGGUGCAAUGAUGACGAGAAGCACAAGAUUGAAUUCCUUCAGUAAUUCGAGCAAAGCAAGCUAGAACUCGAGACCACAGGUCAUGUAAUACCCUCAUGUGCAGUGACAAACGAGACGUGAAACAUUUGGUGUGAAAUCCCACACAGUGGCGAAGCUUGAAAAUUUCCACCGGGGGGUCGGAAGUCACCGAAACUAAAAGUAUAUACCUAUUUUUUUUAUAAAACCGGGGAGUCGAAAACGUAUAUAUACCUAAAAAAUUCUAUACGAAACGUACAUACAUAACACUACUGAGUGAAAAGUUCGGAGGGUAGCCCCCCCCCCCCCCCCCCCCCCCCCCCGCGCCCCCUUCAAUGCUUCGCCCCUGAUCCCACAGUCGACAUUUUGUUCCAAGUAAACGUAAAGUCCUUCGAAUUUAAGAGGGCGAGGGGGUAGUGCCAUAAAAGUGAAAACCGAAAAACUGAUGACAAUGAGUAAGGGAAGAUGGCAAAAUA
rnacentral:lncRNA from 1 species